rnacentral:rRNA from 1 species
GACGAACGCUGGCGGCGUGCCUAAUACAUGCAAGUUGAGCGAUGAAGAUUGGUGCUUGCACCAAUUUGAAGAGCAGCGAACGGGUGAGUAACGCGUGGGGAAUCUGCCUUUGAGCGGGGGACAACAUUUGGAAACGAAUGCUAAUGCCGCAUAACAACUUUAAACAUAAGUUUUAAGUUUGAAAGAUGCAAUUGCAUCACUCAAAGAUGAUCCCGCGUUGUAUUAGCUAGUUGGUGAGGUAAAGGCUCACCAAGGCGAUGAUACAUAGCCGACCUGAGAGGGUGAUCGGCCACAUUGGGACUGAGACACGGCCCAAACUCCUACGGGAGGCAGCAGUAGGGAAUCUUCGGCAAUGGACGAAAGUCUGACCGAGCAACGCCGCGUGAGUGAAGAAGGUUUUCGGAUCGUAAAACUCUGUUGGUAGAGAAGAACGUUGGUGAGAGUGGAAAGCUCAUCAAGUGACGGUAACUACCCAGAAAGGGACGGCUAACUACGUG